CGCGGCGUAGUGAAGUUGGUUAUCAUGCCUGCCUGUCACGCAGGAGAUCACGGGUUCAAGUCCCGUCGUCGUGACCA
rnacentral:tRNA from 1 species